AAAUCUCUAGAAUCUGGAUUCAAACCUUCAUGUAGGCCUGAAUUUACAGGCCCUUUACUUCGCACGCAUGUCAAACUCCAUAAAAAAAUAAGAUGAAGCUUCGGAUCGAAGCAUCUUCGCAAGGCCACCAAGGGUGGAAAGAGAGUCAUUGAUGUGACACCUCACACCAGCAAGAGGAUGUCCAAAGAGGAGGCCAUGACAAGGAGGAGAAGGGGGCGGCAAGGAGGAGGACACGCCAAGGGUGGGAUGCCCAUUAGCUCUUUCAUGCCUCUCUCUCUCUCUCUCUUUCUCUCUUUUUCACACUUUGAUUGCUAUUCAUCCAUAGGUAGAUAUUUUCUCUAUUUAUGGAUGAUUCUUAUGAUCCAAUAAGAAUAGAACUUCUAAUUCAAACAAGCUUUGAAUCAAUCCAUAACUUAUUGAAGAAUGAUUCCUAUAUGAGAAAGGAUUGGCACCUAACAUGGCGCCUACUUUGCACCCACACCCAUGUGGGAUGGCACACAACCAGCACCAUACCAGGUGCUGGUCAGUCAUGGAGGUG
rnacentral:lncRNA from 1 species